GAGGGUAUAGGUCAGUGGUAGAGUGUGUGCUUAGCAUGCAUGAGGCCCUGGGUUCAAUCCCCAGUAUCUCCA
rnacentral:tRNA from 1 species